AGCGAACGCUGGCGGCAGGCCUAACACAUGCAAGUCGAGCGCCCAGCAAUGGGAGCGGCAGACGGGAUAGUAACACGUGGGAACGUACCCUUCAGUUCGGAACAACCCAGGGAAACUUGGGCUAAUACCGAAUACGUCCGUAAGGAGAAAGAUUUAUCGCUGAAGGAUCGGCCCGCGUCUGAUUAGCUAGUUGGUGAGGUAAUGGCUCACCAAGGCGACGAUCAGUAGCNGGUCUGAGAGGAUGAUCAGCAUCACUGGGACUGAGACACGGCCCAGACUCCUACGGGAGGCAGCAGUGGGGAAUAUUGGACAAUGGGCGCAAGCCUGAUCCAGCCAUGCCGCGUGAGUGAUGAAGGCCCUAGGGUUGUAAAGCUCUUUUACCCGGGAAGAUAAUGACUGUACCGGGAGAAUAAGCCCCGGCUAACUUCGUGCCAGCCGCCGCGGUAACACCUGAGACUA
rnacentral:rRNA from 1 species